rnacentral:rRNA from 1 species
AGUGAACGCUGGCGGUAGGCCUAACACAUGCAAGUCGAACGGCAGCACAGUAAGAGCUUGCUCUUACGGGUGGCGAGUGGCGGACGGGUGAGGAAUACAUCGGAAUCUACUUUUUCGUGGGGGAUAACGUAGGGAAACUUACGCUAAUACCGCAUACGACCUACGGGUGAAAGCAGGGGAUCUUCGGACCUUGCGCGAUUGAAUGAGCCGAUGUCGGAUUAGCUAGUUGGCGGGGUAAAGGCCCACCAAGGCGACGAUCCGUAGCUGGUCUGAGAGGAUGAUCAGCCACACUGGAACUGAGACACGGUCCAGACUCCUACGGGAGGCAGCAGUGGGGAAUAUUGGACAAUGGGCGCAAGCCUGAACCAGCCAUACCGCGUGGGUGAAGAAGGCCUUCGGGUUGUAAAGCCCUUUUGUUGGGAAAGAAAGGCAGCAGGUUAAUACCCCGCUGUUCUGACGGUACCCAAAGAAUAAGCACCGGCUAACUUCGUG